GUUUGGAAUGGCAAAUCCAUCACUCUCUUUGCCUGUAAAAUGCCAAGGAGACUGAUCUAAGCAGGGGGUUCCCAUCCAUGGCCUGCUCUAGGCCUGAAGGAACACAGAUGGCAUUUGCAGGAAGAUGACAUCUCACCAUCCCCAUCUGAGCAAAGCCUGCCCAUCAAACAACCAAAGGAUAGCCAGUCCCCUGCACAGUGUAAAGUGACUUGCAGUGAUCCUCUUCCCCAAGGCCAGCCCCAGCUCUCAGACCUCCAGUCCCAACAAGUCUUUUUUUGCAAAGGAGGCUCACCCUGGAACAUGGCUCUCCCAAGGGGAGACAGGAACGGAUGUUGACUUCAUCCCAGCAGCUUCUGACACAAUGCCACUAUCUUUCAACUUUCUCCACCAACAGGGUCAGGCUGUUGAUUGGCCUCGACUGCAGUUAGCCUGACACGGCUAGCAGCCUCAAAACAAAUUAAACGAGGCAGGGAUGCCGUGCAGUGAUCGUUCCAUUAUGUCCCCUCUGCUUCCACACGUGACUCACACUAUCACUUUUAGAAGGUGAAGCAUCUUAUUGAAUCAACACCUAAUCUGCACACAGUGUCACGGAGGAGGGGCGAGGGGACAGCGGGAGCAUUUUCUCUGAUCCUUUUCUUUCCUGAAGACUUCGCUGGAGACAGGCUGGGUGGGGGCGAAGAUGAAUUGUGAGGAACCCUGACCCUAUUUCAGGCAAGCAAAGACCACAAGAUUCUUCUGCACAUUUUCUCUUUACACCCUCUAGUACUGCUGCUACUGUCAGCUCCGACAGAUUUAUAGCCCAUUCAUUCAUGGGAACAAAAACCCUGCCACGGCUGGUCAUGGGACACGCAAUAGCAGUUAGUUCAAAAGAUAACAGCUGCAAUACCUCACCUCUCCAUUCAGCACUACAGAGCCAGCACUACUUCGGAGUCCACCCAACACAAGCUGGGUUGCUGAACCUUUGCAACUCAAGCACUUAGGCAACGCUGAAAAGCCGAGCUUCCUCGUGGUAAGUGGCAAUGUGGGUAUAUACAUUCUCCUUGCAAACUGAUCAGAAACAGAGCUCGGGCAUGAGUCCUGUCCCGACAAGAAGAGGCAGCUGGUCUGACUAGUCCACCACCAUCCUCAGAGCCUGGACACACACAAC
rnacentral:lncRNA from 1 species